rnacentral:rRNA from 1 species
UACGAAGGGGGCUAGCGUUGUUCGGAAUUACUGGGCGUAAAGGGCGCGUAGGCGGUCUGAUAAGUUAGGUGUGAAAUUCCCGGGCUUAACCUGGGCGCUGCACUUAAUACUGUUGGGCUUGAAUUCGGGAGAGGAUAGUGGAAUUCCCAGUGUAGAGGUGAAAUUCGUAGAUAUUGGGAAGAACACCAGUGGCGAAGGCGACUAUCUGGACCGACAUUGACGCUGAGGCGCGAAAGCAUGGGGAGCAAACAGG